GGGCCCGCACAAGCAGUGGAGUAUGUGGUUUAAUUCGACGCAACGCGAAGAACCUUACCAGGGCUUGACAUCCCCUGACGGGCGUGGAGACGCGUCUUUCCCUUCGGGGACAGGGAGACAGGUGGUGCAUGGUUGUCGUCAGCUCGUGUCGUGAGAUGUUGGGUUAAGUCCCGCAACGAGCGCAACCCCUAUUGCCAGUUGCCAGCAAGAAAGAUGGGCACUCUGGCGAGACUGCCGUUGACAAAACGGAGGAAGGCGGGGACGAUGUCAAAUCAUCAUCCCCCUUAUGUCCUGGGCUACACACGUACUACAAUGGCAGCAACAGAGGGCUGCGAGGCCGCGAGGCCAAGCGAAUCCCGAAAUGCUGUCCCAGUUCAGAUUGCAGGCUGCAACUCGCCUGCAUGAAGUCGGAAUUGCUAGUAAUGGCAGGUCAGCAUACUGCCGUGAAUACGUUCCCGGGCCUU
rnacentral:rRNA from 1 species